CCAACAGCAACCAUGAGCUUCAUCACCAUCUUCAUCUGGAUCUUCACUAGCUGCUGUUUCACAGAAUCAGCAGCUGGAGUGACAGUCACUCAGACGCCUGCAGUGAAACCUGUUCAACCAGGAGACACAGUUACUAUCUCCUGUAAAACCAGUCCUGAAGUUUACCAGGGUUGGGGUGUUCAGCCUCUUUCCUGGUACUUACAGAAACCUGGAGAAGCUCCUAAACUCCUGAUUUAUGCUGCAGACACCCUUGAGUCAGGAACUCCAUCUAGAUUCAGUGGCAGUGGAUCUAACAGUGAUUUCACUCUGACCAUCAGUGGAGUCCAGACUGAAGAUGCUGGACAUUAUUACUGUCAGGGUGUACAUGAAAUCAACAGUGACUAUGUGUUCACACAGUGAUAAAGAGUCGUACAAAAACCUCCGUCAGUCAGAGUCACAGAGACUGAACUGAUCCUGCAGCUGCUCAAACACUAUCACUCACUACUGACACACAGAGACAAACACAGCAGCUACACAUGAGCUCAAAAUACCCUGCGUCCCAAUGUUCAUAUAUCCAUCCUUGAUAGUGUGUGAGAUUAGAAUAAGUGUGUCCCAAAGCAUAGCAUGUUGAAAAGAGUAUGCCAAAACUCCCCGGAUGGUCUACUAUUUCAGGUCGAUUUUUGAAGUGUGGAUCCGUGCACACUCUAAUGGCUAAUAUUGCCCACAAUCCAUUGCGCUGUGGUGAAGGAUUCAGUUCAGAACUACAAUCAUGAAUAAAAAGGGUUAAAAAAACA